rnacentral:rRNA from 1 species
AUUGAACGCUGGCGGCAUGCUUUACACAUGCAAGUCGAACGGCAGCGCGGGCUUCGGCCUGGCGGCGAGUGGCGAACGGGUGAGUAAUACAUCGGAACGUGCCCAGCAGUGGGGGAUAGCUCGGCGAAAGCCGGAUUAAUACCGCAUACGACCUGAGGGUGAAAGCGGGGGAUCUUCGGACCUCGCGCUAUUGGAGCGGCCGAUGGCAGAUUAGCUAGUUGGUGGGGUAAAGGCCUACCAAGGCGACGAUCUGUAGCUGGUCUGAGAGGACGACCAGCCACACUGGGACUGAGACACGGCCCAGACUCCUACGGGGGGCAGCAGUGGGGAAUUUUGGACAAUGGGCGAAAGCCUGAUCCAGCAAUGCCGCGUGUGAUGAAGGCCUUCGGGUUGUAAAGCACUUUUGGCGGGAACGAAAAGGACUGUGCCAAUACCACGGUUCGAUGACGGUACCCGCAGAAUAAGCACCGGCUAACUACGUG